GCGCAUGCGUGGCCAGCGAGGUCCAGGGGCGCAGUGGGGGGAGCCCCCGGGUGGACAUCGGCCCCUUGCCUACGCAGGGCCGCCGCGAGGAUUUUCGGAGGGUCCGCCGCCGGGUCUGGGGAACCCAGCCUUCCAUGCCAAUCUACCGCUAGCUGGAGCUGCCCCAGCCCCGCUGGUCAGGGACCCUGGGUGAGGGCCAGCUUUCCGGUUAGCAUCACCUGGGGGGAGCAGGAGCGAGAGUAGGCCUCAAAAAUGACGUAAAAAGGCGCAGGCGACUCCUGUGUGCACUGUUGGGAGAGCUGUGAUUUAUCUAUCUAUCAGUGGGCUUUCCCUGCUCUCUGGCUGGUUCUGAGGGCUGGACCUCGCUCCCCGCCACUGCCACCCCCACCCCCCAGGAUUCAGUGGUCUCCUGCUGCUAUCAGAAGUGGCAUCUCAGGCCUGCCACUUGCUUUUGGAGUUGGGUGCAGAAGUGUCCUGACUCUCAGCCCCUUGGAAGGCCCAGGUGAUUCCUGUGCCCCACAAGACUGAGAGGCGCUGCUUCAAGAGAUUACAGCUGAAUAGAAAAAGAAAAGUCGGAAAAUGAUAGCAGUGAAAUAGACCAUCUCUCCAGGGCUGUUUCUUUGCCUGAAGAUAAGAGGACACAAGUGGGUGACCUUCACAUUUUUUUCUCUAUGGAAUUGCCUGGUGUAGACAGAAAAACCCAACUGCAAAAACCUAACAAAGCACACAGAAGCUGUUACGACGUUGGAGGAUGAGCUGGGUGAAAAUUAGAUUAUGACCUGGAGCUCUGACUGUAGAAUUGAUUACUAUAAGGUGUUAUAAAACAGCAUUUUUAGGAGAUGAAUAAAACUUUGUAAAGUACUACUGUCAAAUGAUUUAGCAAAAGCAUGUAUUCUCAGGAUGUUAAAAUUGCUGAAAUUGCAAAGCCUGCUCACUAGGUGGGGAUCCAUGCCUGGUCCUGAAGGCUUACUGCUUGUGGCUGGAGAGGACACAGACCCCAGCUGAGAACCUUCUGUUGUUUUCCGAAACCAAUGUAAUUCCUAGCUAUAUUGCAACUACGUACAACCCUAUAUGUGUAGCUAUCACUGCCCAUCAAAGACAGCUCUCUCUGUAGCAGAGAGAAGCUAUUUCAGAGACCCCCAGCUGGUCACAGUGCAGAAGGUAAUUGAGUGUGGGGUUCUCAGCCCCAGCUGGUCCAUCUACACUGUGAGAUCCCUAUGUGAGGCUCAGCCCCAGCUGGUCCAUCUACACUGUGAGAUCCCUAUGUGAGGCUCAGCCCCAGCUGGUCCAUCUACACUGCGAUCCCUGUGUGAGGCUCAGUGAGCAUCAUGGAAGAAGGUGCAGGAUGAUUGUUAGAAUCAGAGGACCUGGACACCUGCUGCUAGACAGUGUCUCCUGGACAUGGCAUGGAUACAGCCCCAUGAAAUCUCACCUACCUGGCUGUCUAAACAAGACCUACCCCAAGACCAACGUGCCGAGGUGGAUGGAGGAAGUUUCACAAGGUACCACUCCUGAAGUGCUACAAGCUAGCAGUGUCUGCUGAGAGAAAGAAUCCAUUUUCUCUGUGACAGGUCCCCGAUACCCAAUCCCAAGUGGUCAAUACACUCUGUAGGUCAUGUGUAGGUGUGAAUGUGUAUGUAUGCAUGUAUAAAACAACAGUUCUAGAGGAGAUUAUGCACUUUGGAGUCAUAGAUACAGGAGGAGCUGGAGAGGGAAGAAGGAGGCAUGGGAAUGAGGUAAAUACAUUUUUAUGUAUGAAGUUCUCAAAAAUUAAAUUUAAAAACUGUCGAAAUUAAAUGAAUGUCCCACUGGAAUUUAGUACUUUUCAUGAUAAAAAUGUUUCAAAAUAAAAAUUUAAAAAAGUU
rnacentral:lncRNA from 1 species